rnacentral:rRNA from 1 species
AUGCCGUUGGCAGGUCGGCGUGUCCUUGUAUGCUGCGUGCUCUCGGCCAUGCCAACCUUUGCGCUCAUAGCUCUUCGAGUCCCAAAGAAGUUCUACAAAGAUAUAGACAAAUCGAGACGGCGCAUCCUCUGGGCGGGGGAUGAAGAGAUAUCCGGUGGAAAAUGCAAAGUGGGAUGGAGCACGGUGACCACGCCCGAGCAAUAUGGUGGUGUAGGCAUUCAUGAUCUGCCUUGUUUUGCCAGAGCUUUGCGCCUGCGUUGGUUAUGGAAAUCGUAG